rnacentral:lncRNA from 1 species
AGGUUUUUGAUAAUUUGCUCCUUGGGAGGUCUGUUUCCUUCAAGUACAGCUAAAUCAAAGAGACACCAACCUAUUUAAGUGCUUGAGAUUUCGAUUAACAACCUGCAACAAUGUCCAUGCCCUUUGGUAUUUCACUAAUUAUUUUCUUUACCCAUUUAUUCUCCUGUAGAUAGUUUCUGUCUUAAGUGUCUACAACAUAAGGGAUAAGCAGCACCACAUCCGGGUACCAAAGCCAUCCAUGCCAUUCUAUAUUCCUCUCAUCAUACACUUGAUCAUAAAAAUUGGUUUAUUUUAUUGUGGCUCUACCAUUUAAGCUAUCAAACUACUUUUAUUGCAAUUGGUCUUAAAAUGCCACUAUACUGUUACUACAUUAUUUGCCACCAGUGUAUGCUUUAUUCAUUUGGAGGAACUUCUUUUAUUAGUGAGAAAAAUAGAAGUAUCCUAUUAGUCUGCUGAGAUUUCAGAUGUGACUCCUUACUAAUCCUACAAGUCAUGUUCUUGAUAUUAUGUUGACGUUGCCUUUCUGAGACCUGAGAGUUUUCUAAUGAGAAUCUUUACUAAUCAUACAAGUCAUGUUCUAGAUGUUAAGUUGAGGUUACCUUUUAAGUAAUGUAAACCUGAAAGUGGAAGGAUAAUGUUCUAUGUGGUUUGAUUUACCGGCUUUUUACAUGUUGUCGUGCGUUGAUUCAGUCCCAUCUUUUUUACAUUAUCCUUCCAUUUUCAGCUUAUAUAUGUAAAAGCUCUAAUGAGCAUGUAAUAGCUAGCAGGGAAUAACUAAAGUCUUUGCGAUUUUUUUACAUGUUAUCGUGCGUUGAUUCAGUCUAAGUGUGCCAUCAGAAUGACUUGGAUUCUGCCUCUGUCAUAAGCCCGAUGUUCUGAUCCUGGACCUCGGUUGUUCGGCCAGACACUAAGUCAGACCAACUCUAGAUUAUUUUCUAGCUUUGUAUUAACAAUAUGCAAACAGUACUUAUGCUUCUUACAUUCCUUCCUGCUCUAAAAUACACAUAUGCUUUUCUCUUUGUUGUACUUACUACUAAACUAUGUGUUUUGAACAAAGCAUGUCAUCUCAUUUCAGAUUUAUGAUGAUGUAGUUAUGGACGCCUUCUAAAUGCUACACAUGUGGUUCCCAAUUGGAUGAUAUCUUUCCGUGAAGAUCUUCAAGUAUGGCAUUUGCUUCAUUCUCUUACAUCUGCAUUUAAAGUUCCUCUCUUUGCUUUUAAUCAACUUGUGUAGAUACUACUUUCUUACGUUUUUGUGCAACAACAGAAUUAACAGUUGGUUUCUCUGUUUACCUUCGAUGUCGGUUUCAUCUAUAUAUUUCACUCGCUAGCUAUUAACAUUAUGUGUUAAAAAAACCUACAUGGCCUGACUUUGGUUUUGUGGUUGCUUGCAUUUGUCAUAUGCAGUAGCCUGCCCCUGAUUCAUGUUCUCAUUGCCUUUAUUUUUUUGUGUCUUUUGUGCUGUCACGCAGAUCAUGAGUUGCAAGUAUGAGUGUGCUAUUCAAUCUAUUUACUGGGACAAGAGGCGUUUAUUUAUGUCCAGAUUUCUGUUGGAGAUUAUGGUCCAUAGAAGUUCUCAUGUUGGAGAAGAGAAAAUUCAGUAUAUCUGUCGAUCUGGAUAGUAUGUAUAUGUUUCAUACAUGUUUAUCCUUUAGAGCCAAAGCCCAAUUCUAUGUUGAUCUUUUUUCUUGACUCUUUUGUUUUAUUGAUUCAGAUUAUUUAACUGUGAAAUUUUGUGCAAUUCCUUGAUUAUAUGUCAGUGUCAAGGCAUCUUCUGACUAUUUGGAUUAAUUUACCUUAGUAUAUUUAAUGUAUAUCUUAGAAUGAUAUGAAAGAAUUUAUUAUUAUGAUGUUGUACUGAACUUUGAACCUUUUGG